rnacentral:rRNA from 1 species
GAUGAACGCUGGCGGCGUGCCUAACAUAUGCAAGUCGAGCGAACCCUUCGGGGUGAGCGGCGGACGGGUGAGUAACGCGUGGGUAACCUGCCCUGUACACACGGAUAACAUACCGAAAGGUAUGCUAAUACGAGAUAAUAUAUUUUAAUCGCAUGGUUAAGAUAUCAAAGCUCCGGCGGUACAGGAUGGACCCGCGUCUGAUUAGCUAGUUGGUGAGGUAAUGGCUCACCAAGGCGACGAUCAGUAGCCGACCUGAGAGGGUGAUCGGCCACACUGGAACUGAGACACGGUCCAGACUCCUACGGGAGGCAGCAGUGGGAAUAUUGCACAAUGGGCGAAAGCUUGAUGCAGCAACGCCGCGUGAGCGAUGAAGGCCUUCGGGUCGUAAAGCUCUGUCCUCAAGGAAGAUAAUGACGGUACUUGAGGAGGAAGCCCCGGCUAACUACGUGCCAGCAGCCGCCGUAA